rnacentral:rRNA from 1 species
AUACGUAGGGGGCAAGCGUUGUCCGGAAUUACUGGGCGUAAAGCGCACGCAGGCUGACUUAUAAGUCGGUAGUCUAAUGCGGAGGCUCAACUUCCGUUUAUCUAUCGAUACUGUAAGACUAGAGUAUGCGAGAGGGAAGCGGAAUUCCCGGUGUAGCGGUGAAAUGCGUGGAUAGUGGAAGGAACACCAGUGGCGAAGGCGACUCCCGGGCACAUAUCGGACGCCAAUGUGCGAAAGCAAGGGUAGCGAACGGGAUUAGAUACCCCGGUAGUCCUUGCCGUAAACGAUGAAUACUAGGUGUGGGGAUCGCAGGGCGUCCUUGUCGGAGCUAACGCGUUAAGUAUCCCGCCUGGGGACUACGGUCGCAAGACUGAAACUUAAAGGAAUUGACGGGG